rnacentral:rRNA from 1 species
UACGGAGGGUGCAAGCGUUAUCCGGAUUCACUGGGUUUAAAGGGUGCGUAGGUGGGUCUGUAAGUCAGUGGUGAAAUCUCCAAGCUUAACUUGGAACUGCCGUUGAUACUAUAGAUCUUGAAUGCUGUGGAGGUGAGCGGAAUAUGUCAUGUAGCGGUGAAAUGCUUAGAUAUACAUAGAACACCAAAUUGCGAAGGCAGCUCACUACCCAGAAUAUUUGACACUGAGGCUCGAAAAGCAUGGGGAGCAAACAGG